UACGUAGGGUGCAAGCGUUGUCCGGAAUUAUUGGGCGUAAAGAGCUCGUAGGCGGUCUGUCGCGUCUGCUGUGAAAAUCCAGGGCUCAACCCUGGACCUGCAGUGGGUACGGGCAGACUAGAGUGCGGUAGGGGAGAUCGGAAUUCCUGGUGUAGCGGUGAAAUGCGCAGAUAUCAGGAGGAACACCAAUGGCGAAGGCAGCUCGCUGGGACGGUACUGACGCUGAGGCGCGAAAGCGUGGGGAGCAAACAGG
rnacentral:rRNA from 1 species